UACGUAGGGUGCAAGCGUUGUCCGGAAUUAUUGGGCGUAAAGAGCUCGUAGGCGGUUUGUUGCGUCGGCUGUGAAAUCCCGAGGCUCAACCUCGGGUCUGCAGUCGAUACGAGCAAACUAGAGUGUUGCAGGGGAGACUGGAAUUCCUGGUGAUAGCGGUGAAAUGCGCAGAUAUCAGGAGGAACACCGGUGGCGAAGGCGGAUCUCUGGGACGGUACUGACGCUGAGACGCGAAAGCGUGGGGAGCGAACAGG
rnacentral:rRNA from 1 species